rnacentral:rRNA from 1 species
AUUGAACGCUGGCGGAAUGCUUUACACAUGCAAGUCGAGCGGCAGCACGGGGGCAACCCUGGUGGCGAGCGGCGAACGGGUGAGUAAUACAUCGGAACAUGCCCAGUCGUGGGGGAUAACACUUCGAAAGAAGUGCUAAUACCGCAUACGUCCUGAGGGAGAAAGCGGGGGAUCGCAAGACCUCGCGCGAUUGGAGUGGCCGAUGUCAGAUUAGCUAGUUGGUGGGGUAAAGGCCUACCAAGGCAACGAUCUGUAGCUGGUCUGAGAGGAUGAUCAGCCACACUGGGACUGAGACACGGCCCAGACUCCUACGGGAGGCAGCAGUGGGGAAUUUUGGACAAUGGGGGGCAACCCUGAUCCAGCCAUUCCGCGUGAGUGAAGAAGGCCUUCGGGUUGUAAAGACUCUUUCUAGCAGGACGAAACGGCGAGUACUAAUACUGCUCGCUAAUGAC